rnacentral:rRNA from 1 species
AAUCAACGCUGGCGGCGUGCCUCAGACAUGCAAGUCGAACGAUUAAAGCUCUCUUCGGAGAGUGCAUAGAGUGGCGCACGGGUGAGUAACACGUAAGUAAUCUACCCUCGAGUGGGGAAUAACGUCCGGAAACGGACGCUAAUACCGCAUAAUGCAGCGGCACCGCAAGGUGACAGUUGUUAAAGAUUUAUCGCUUGAGGAGGAGCUUGCGGCAGAUUAGCUAGUUGGUAAGGUAAUGGCUUACCAAGGCUACGAUCUGUAACCGGUCUUAGAGGACGGUCGGUCACACUGACACUGAAUAACGGGUCAGACUCCUACGGGAGGCAGCAGUCGGGAAUUUUGGGCAAUGGGCGAAAGCCUGACCCAGCAACGCCGCGUGAAGGAUGAAGUAUUUCGGUAUGUAAACUUCGAAAGAAUAGGAAGAAUAAAUGACGGUACUAUUUAUAAGGUCCGGCUAACUACGUGCCAGCAGCCGCGGUAAGUCGUGUGACA